UGCCAGCCGCCGCGGUAAUACGGAGGGUGCAAGCGUUACUCGGAAUCACUGGGCGUAAAGGACGCGUAGGCUGGUUGGUAAGUCUGAUGUGAAAUCCAAUGGCUCAACCAUUGAACUGCAUUGGAAACUACCAACCUAGAGUAUGGGAGGGGGAGAUGGAAUUAGUAGUGUAGGGGUAAAAUCCGUAGAUAUUACUAGGAAUACCGAAAGCGAAGGCGAUCUCCUGGAACAUUACUGACGCUAAGGCGUGAAAGCGUGGGGAGCAAACAGGAUUAGAUACCCUGGUAGUCCACGCCCUAAACGAUGAACACUAGUCGUCGCCCUGCUAGUCAGGGCGGUGAUGCACUUAACAGAUUAAGUGUUCCGCCUGGGGAGUACGGUCGCAAGAUUAAAACUCAAAGGAAUUGACGG
rnacentral:rRNA from 1 species